GAUGAACGCUGGCGGCGUGCCUAAUACAUGAAAGUCGAGCGAACAGACGAGGAGCUUGCUCCUCUGACGUUAGCGGCGGACGGGUGAGUAACACGUGGAUAACCUACCUAUAAGACUGGGAUAACUUCGGGAAACCGGAGCUAAUACCGGAUAAUAUAUUGAACCGCAUGGUUCAAUAGUGAAAGACGGUUUUGCUGUCACUUAUAGAUGGAUCCGCGCCGCAUUAGCUAGUUGGUAAGGUAAAGGCUUACCAAGGCAACGAUGCGUAGCCGACCUGAGAGGGUGAUCGGCCACACUGGAACUGAGACACGGUCCAGACUCCUACGGGAGGCAGCAGUCGGGAAUCUUCCGCAAUGGGCGAAAGCCUGACGGAGCAACGCCGCGUGAGUGAUGAAGGUCUUCGGAUCGUAAAACUCUGUUAUUAGGGAAGAACAAAUGUGUAAGUAACUAUGCACGUCUUGACGGUACCUAAUCAGAAAGCCACGGCUAACUACGUG
rnacentral:rRNA from 1 species